AGAGUUUGAUCCAGGCUCAGGAUGAACGCUGGCGGCGUGCCUAACACAUGCAAGUCGAACGGACUUAAAGUUUUCGGACAAUAAGUUAGUGGCGGACGGGUGAGUAACGCGUGAGCAACCUGCCUUUCAGAGGGGGAUAACGUUUGGAAACAGACGCUAAUACCGCAUAACAUAGCGAUAUCGCAUGGUAUUGCUAUCAAAGGAGCAAUCCGCUGAGAGAUGGGCUCGCGUCCGAUUAGAUAGUUGGUGAGGUAACAGCUCACCAAGUCAACGAUCGGUAGCCGGACUGAGAGGUUGAACGGCCACAUUGGGACUGAGAUACGGCCCAGACUCCUACGGGAGGCAGCAGUGGGGAAUAUUGCACAAUGGGCGAAAGCCUGAUGCAGCAACGCCGCGUGAGGGAAGACGGUUUUCGGAUUGUAAACCUCUGUCUUCGGUGACGAAAAAUGACGGUAGCCGAGGAGGAAGCCACGGCUAACUACGUGCCAGCAGCCGCGGUAAUACGUAGGUGGCGAGCGUUAUCCGGAAUUACUGGGUGUAAAGGGAGCGCAGGCGGGGCGACAAGUCAGCUGUGAAAACUAUGGGCUUAACUCAUAGACUGCAGUUGAAACUGUUGCUCUUGAGUGGAGUAGAGGCAAGCGGAAUUCCGAGUGUAGCGGUGAAAUGCGUAGAUAUUCGGAGGAACACCAGUGGCGAAGCGGCUUGCUGGGCUCUAACUGACGCUGAGGCUCGAAAGUGUGGGGAGCGAACAGGAUUAGAUACCCUGGUAGUCCACGCCGUAAACGAUGAUUACUGGGUGUAGGGGGUAUCGACUCCCUCUGUGCCGAAGCUAACGCGAUAAGUAAUCCACCUGGGGAGUACGGCCGCAAGACUAAAACUCAAAGGAAUUGACGGGGGCCCGCACAAGCAGUGGAGUAUGUGGUUUAAUUCGAGGCAACGCGAAGAACCUUACCAGGGUUUGACAUCCCGCGCUCGGGGUAGAGAUACCCUUUUCCCUUCGGGGACGCGGAGACAGGUGGUGCAUGGUUGUCGUCAGCUCGUGUCGUGAGAUGUUCGGUUAAGUCCGGCAACGAGCGCAACCCUCGUUGUCAGUUGCCAUCAUUUGGUUGGGCACUCUGGCGAGACUGCCGUUGACAAAACGGAGGAAGGUGGGGAUGACGUCAAAUCAUCAUGCCCCUUAUGUCCUGGGCUACACACGUACUACAAUGGGCGUUACAACGGGCAGCGAAACCGCGAGGUGGAGCGAAUCCCCAAAGGCGCCCUCAGUUCGGGUUGCAGGCUGAAACUCGCCUGCAUGAAGCCGGAAUUGCUAGUAAUCGCGGGUCAGCAUACCGCGGUGAAUGUGUUCCUGAGCCUUGUACACACCGCCCGUCAAGCCACGAAAGUGGGGGGCCGACGAAGUCGCCGAGCUAACCCUCUGGGAGGCAAGCGCCGAAUCGGAACUCCAUGAUUGGGACUAAGUCGUAACAAGGUAGCCGU
rnacentral:rRNA from 1 species